rnacentral:rRNA from 1 species
UACGAAGGGGGCUAGCGUUGUUCGGAUUUACUGGGCGUAAAGCGCACGUAGGCGGAUCGUUAAGUCGGGGGUGAAAUCCUGGGGCUCAACCCCAGAACUGCCUUCGAUACUGGCGAUCUCGAGUCCGGAAGAGGUGAGUGGAACUCCUAGUGUAGAGGUGGAAUUCGUAGAUAUUAGGAAGAACACCAGUGGCGAAGGCGGAUCUCUGGGCCAUUACUGACGCUGAGGAGCGAAAGCGUGGGGAGCGAACAGG